rnacentral:lncRNA from 1 species
UCCCACACGGAGCAGAUCUCCACGCUGCAGCCCGGGGAGGAGACCACAGUGGAGGCAUGAUCCUGGGAGGAACCGCAGCCCACAGAGGCACGUAACAGGAGGUCUGGAAGGAACUAUGGCUCAUGGGGGGUCAGUGUUGGAGCAGUCUGUUCCUGAUGGACAGUAGCCCAUAGAGAGGACUCAUGCUGGACAAUUUUAGGAUGGAACCCCAUGCAGAGAAGAAGUGUUUUGAACAGACUGAAAUCCCCAGUACUCAUCCCCCCUGUAAUGUUUAGGCAGGGUCAUGGAGGAAGCUGAAGAUUAAGGAACGAAGGGGUGAAGUCGAGGCUCAGAACAAGGGAGGAGCGGGGGAAAGUGUUUUUAGUUUUGUCUUUGUUUCUUGCCAUCCUGCAUUGUUUUCAGUUGGCAAUAACUUCAAUUAAUCUUCCCCAAGAUUAGUCUGUUUUGCCCAUGAGGCUUAUUGAUCCCUGUCUUUAUUUCGACCCAGGAGCUUUUCCUCCUCAUUUUCUCCUAUUUUGUUGAGGAGCAGGAGUGAGAGAGCGGCUGGGUGGCCAUCUGUCAGCCAGCCAAGGUCAGCCCACCACACACAUCAAGUCUGUCAAUGAUCCAUUAAAGUGAAAUGCAUCUGUAAGCAAGAAUCAAUCAUGCUUACUAAUAUUUUUGAAAGAUAAAACCUACUAAAACAAUGUCAGCUGUGGCAUGUUGGUUCAAUGUGAAAUGUUCUGCUGAUAUCAGUUAGCAGGACUUGCUGGUUGCUGCUGCUCAUGUGACUUGUAAAGUGGAAAGAGGACAUGGCUAUUCUUCUCUUUUUUACCAAAACUUCUGCAGGAGAAGCACAGCUCCAUUUGUUCAGCAACUAUGUGCAUUCCUGCUCUGCUGAAAAGAUGGCCAAAAGGGAAAUACGACUUCUUCUCAUGAAGUAUGCAUUGCUGGAACUGUUUUGCAGUAACUGUAUUUUUAAAAUUGUCCUGUGUCAUGGAGCAGCUGAUAGGAAUGUGUUAAGCAAGCAAAUAAAAAAAGACAUUAAAAGGCAAGACUACAUAAAAAAUAAAUAAAAAUUUUAAUGGUUUUAUAAGUAAAGAUUAUGACAAAUCUCAGAUACAAGUGGGAAGCCUUAACCAUAGUGGAACCUUUGGAUACUGAACUUGACACUUGGUGUUUUUCCUUGCUAGACCGCAGGAAUCAGAGUGAAGUAACGAUCUAGCCAGUAAUUUUAAGGACCUUGGAGUUGCAGUUGGAGAGCCUUCAUUGCUAAAUGACAGAGACACCGCCAUCUGGUGGAUUUAAGGAGAUUUCUCGGCGUUGCAUUGGAUUUAUGGGAACAUUCAUUUUCUGGUAGUGUAUAUUCAAAAAAUAAUUACAAUUAACAGGAAUAAUUUGAAGGUUUUUUAUGUCACCUUUUAAAUUAAAUGCACAGGGUAAACAUAAAUUCAUAUAACAGAAACACAGUUGGAUUUCAGGUGGAAUUGGCCUUUGGAGGGCACCCAUGGCAUCGCAGCAAUCAUCUAGUAGCAAGUGGAUCAUUUCUAUAUGGAAGUAGGUGGAGGAAGUCUAUGUGAUCUCCCUAUAUUACUAAUAGGUGAUAUAGGUCAAAAGCUGUGAAGGAAAGAUAGAGCUGGUUGCCAAUUAUAAGACAUUCUUACGAGGUUUAUCUCUGUCCACAGUGUAAGGAAGACAACGUACACACUGAAAAUAAGCUAUAGAAGUCCUAGGUAUUAAUUCUACAUUUGUCUCCCCUUUUAAAAAGUCACUGAUAGUGUAAUCUGUGGAGAGGUUCUGCAGACAGGCCUUGACAAAGCAGCUUUUAAAAGUAUCAUUUGGGUGUGGACAGUGACCCUGUUGUGGUGGGGUGUUGGCUUUCACAACCCUGCUCAGUCCAGAGGGACUGGAGACACCAUUGCCAUGUCUCAUUACAUGAUCCUUCUGCACUAUUACUCAAUGCAGUUGUAAAUGAAGGUACUUGGACUCCAUUGCUCAUAUGGCAAUUUUGAAUCCAGUAGUUGUCCUGUGUGAGCUUCUUUACAGGAACAGGGCAUAUUGGCAGUUGUACUCUAU